UACGGGGGGGGCAAGCGUUGUUCGGAAUAACUGGGCUUAAAGGGAGCGUAGGCGGGCUAUCAAGUCUGGGGUGAAAUCCCGCGGCUCAACCGUGGAACUGCCUCAGAUACUGACGGCCUCGAGGGAGAUAGGGGCAUGCGGAACUGUAGGUGGAGCGGUGAAAUGCGUUGAUAUCUACAGGAACUCCGGUGGCGAAAGCGGCGUGCUGGAUCUCUUCUGACGCUGAGGCUCGAAAGCUAGGGGAGCAAACGGG
rnacentral:rRNA from 1 species